rnacentral:rRNA from 1 species
CCUACGGGAGGCAGCAGUAGGGAAUCUUCGGCAAUGGACGAAAGUCUGACCGAGCAACGCCGCGUGAGUGAAGAAGGUUUUCGGAUCGUAAAACUCUGUUGUUAGAGAAGAACAAGGACGUUAGUAACUGAACGUCCCCUGACGGUAUCUAACCAGAAAGCCACGGCUAACUNA